rnacentral:rRNA from 1 species
UACGGAGGGAGCUAGCGUUGUUCGGAAUUACUGGGCGUAAAGCGCACGUAGGCGGCUUUGUAAGUUAGAGGUGAAAGCCCGGGGCUCAACUCCGGAACUGCCUUUAAGACUGCAUCGCUCGAAUCAUGGAGAGGUCAGUGGAAUUCCGAGUGUAGAGGUGAAAUUCGUAGAUAUUCGGAAGAACACCAGUGGCGAAGGCGACUGACUGGACAUGUAUUGACGCUGAGGUGCGAAAGCGUGGGGAGCAAACAGG